rnacentral:rRNA from 1 species
AGAUUGAACGCUGGCGGCAUGCUUUACACAUGCAAGUCGAGCGGCAGCGCGGGGGCAACCCUGGCGGCGAGCGGCGAACGGGUGAGGAAUACAUCGGAACGUACCCCGGAGUGGGGGAUAACCCAGCGAAAGUUGGACUAAUACCGCAUAUGCUCUGAGGAGGAAAGCAGGGGACUUCGCAAGAGGCCUUGCGCUCUGGGAGCGGCCGAUGUCCGAUUAGCUAGUUGGUGGGGUAAUGGCUCACCAAGGCGACGAUCGGUAGCUGGUCUGAGAGGAUGAUCAGCCACACUGGGACUGAGACACGGCUCAGACUCCUACGGGAGCAGCAGUGGGGAAUUUUGGACAAUGGGGGCAACCCUGAUCCAGCCA